AAUGUCCUUGCUCUCAGUACCGCAAGGAGAACAUUCUAGACGGAAAAACAACGAUCCAUUAAAAGACGGCUACUGAUUUCAACCAAAUAAAAGAGAACGGAAACAUUCUGGACAUCCUAUCAGAUGAGUUGGCAGUGAGAGAACCGAAACAGAGCAAUAAGACUGCACGGCUACAUGUUCCCAGUGCCACCAACUGGGAGUGGGUGACGGAUCACCCCCACCAGCUGGCUCAUGCCACAAUUAACAAAGUUGCUACUACCGGUACACCUGCAAAGUUUAAUGGAAAAAUCUGUCAGUGUUAUGACGGCACUGUCGCCAGGAUCACAGGGACGAGGAGAAGGGAGCCGACUUUGGCUGAAGGUGGAUCGGCAA